rnacentral:rRNA from 1 species
AACGAACGCUGGCGGCAUGCCUAACACAUGCAAGUCAAACGAGACCUUCGGGUCUAGUGGCGCACGGGUGCGUAACGCGUGGGAACCUGCCCUUAGGUUCGGAAUAACUCCCCGAAAGGGGUGCUAAUACCGGAUAAUGUCUUCGGACCAAAGAUUUAUCGCCUUUGGAUGGGCCCGCGUUGGAUUAGCUAGUUGGUAGGGUAAAAGCCUACCAAGGCGACGAUCCAUAGCUGGUCUGAGAGGAUGAUCAGCCACACUGGGACUGAGACACGGCCCAGACUCCUACGGGAGGCAGCAGUGGGGAAUAGUGGACAAUGGGCGAAAGCCUGAUCCAGCAAUGCCGCGUGAGUGAUGAAGGCCUUAGGGUUGUAAAGCUCUUUUAACCGGGAUGAUAAUGACAGUACCGGGAGAAUAAGCUCCGGCUAACUCCGUG